GGCCACAAAAUCUCAUCCACAUCGCAUACGAUGUCUUCCUGUGCCUCUUUCUCUCACCGCCUUCAUGUUGCAAAGUACUCAACAUGGCUGACCUGGGGUCUGUUUGUAGAGCUUAGGCCCUGACUGACUGGUGUUCAGUUUUCUAAAGUUCACACACUGAGAGGACAGGGCCUGCAGCUGUGAUUCACAUGAACCAACGUUCUUCUCCAUCUUUCUCAAGUCAUCACUUUGGGCUUGAGAGAAUUGAAGGCUGGAUUUGUAUUGAUGAAUCCACCAAUGGGAUUGCGGGCUGACUUGUUGCCGACAUGAAUCACCAGAGUGGUUGAGAGUCUGGGUGCGGAACUGUUUCAAGAAAGGAGGCCUGAGUUCUGCUAUUCUCCACAUGGGAGGAGUGACAACAGAGGAUGGGCUGGGUGCAUUGUGUCCUUGAGGAUGCUCAAGGCCCUCAGCAGUAGUGAGCCUAUGUUUACCUCCUGACAGCGAGGUUAAACCCCCUGUCUGUCAGCAGGAUAAGUCAAAAAGAACUGGAUGGAUUAGCACAAAACCUGCUGUGAAGGUUGGUCAUGUGCCAGCACAGAGCUGCUGUGCUCUGCAGGGGCUGACAUCACCUGCCACCACAGAGCAGGCACCAGCCACAUCUUUCACCUUUAGGAACUGUACGUUAUGUAGAAUGAGGGCUCACUGCAGGAUUUCUGAAACAAAAAUCUCUGACCCUCCCGCUGACCAAAAUAUAUUUUUCCUUGACCCUCCUCAAGUGAUUGGACAAAAGUGAUU